AUAACGACUCUCGGCAACGGAUAUCUCGGCUCUCGCAUCGAUGAAGAACGCAGCGAAAUGCGAUACCUGGUGUGAAUUGCAGAAUCCCGUGAAUCAUCGAGUCUUUGAACGCAAGUUGCGCCCGAGACCAUUCGGUUGAGGGCACGCCUGCCUGGGCGUCACG
rnacentral:rRNA from 1 species